rnacentral:lncRNA from 1 species
AGGAUCAAAAAUCUGAUCUCCAAAUCGAGACAAGUCCCAAAGGAUCAAAAAUCCAAUCUUCGAAUUGAGACAAGUUUCAAAGGACCAAAUUAUCGAUCUUCAAAUCGAAACAAGUCCCAAAAGAUCAAGAAUAUCGAUCUUUGGAUCGAGAUAAGUCUCAAAGGACCAAAAAUUCGAUCUCCGAAUCGAGAUAAGUUCCAAAGGACUAAAAUACUGAUCUCCAGAUCAAGACAACUCCCAAAGGUUCAAAAUAUCUAUCACCAGAUCUACAUAAGUCUCAAUAGGACCAAAAAUCCGAUCUCCAAAUAGAUAAAGCCCUAAUAGGCCAAAUCUCCUUGAGGACCAAAAUAUCGAUCUCCAGAUCGAGAUAAGUCUCGAAAGGAUCAAGAUCAAGUGAGAUAUUCAAUCUCCAGAUUGGACCUCAUAAAAAUUCAAAGUUUUGAUGAGACCAAAGUCUCGAAAGGGCCAAGAUCAAAAAUGAAAUAUCUGAUCUCCAGAUUGGACCUCACAAAAUG